CACGGGGGGAGCAAGCGUUGUUCGGAAUCACUGGGCGUAAAGGGCUCGUAGGCGGCCAACUAAGUCGGAUGUGAAAUCCCCAAGCUUAACUUGGGAACUGCAUCCGAUACUGGAUGGCUUGAAUCCGGGAGAGGGAUGCAGAAUUCCAGGUGUAGCGGUGAAAUGCGUAGAUAUCUGGAGGAAUACCGGUGGCGAAGGCGGCAUCCUGGACCGGCAUUGACGCUGAGGAGCGAAAGCUAGGGGAGCAAACGGG
rnacentral:rRNA from 1 species